CAAAGUCUCUACUCAUUUAACCAAUUCACAUACACACAUCAAUUUCUUUUUCCAUCUUAUAUCCGGCCUAGACUAACCAUGGUCACGUUUCCGGCCCGUGACAGGGCAAUCAAUAUAACAUGGUUAGUCCAUACCACCACAUUCAUAAAUUCAAUUAUGCAGGUAUAAGUUAUACACAUACAUGCAUCCAUCAUACUACCAAUCACAAGCCAACACGAUCAAAAUAUAAUUAAAUAUAAAACUAUUUUGCUUUGUCUGGAUCAUAGCAUAUCAAACAUAUAUAAUGCAAAAAUAUUUUUAUCAUGUAGGAUUGGCG
rnacentral:lncRNA from 1 species